UACGUAGGGGGCAAGCGUUGUCCGGAAUCAUUGGGCGUAAAGAGCGCGUAGGCGGCCAGAUAAGUCCGGUGUGAAAGUCACAGGCUCAACCUGUGAAUGCCGCUGGAAACUGUCUGGCUAGAGUCCGGAAGGGGCGAGUGGAAUUCCUGGUGUAGCGGUGAAAUGCGCAGAUAUCGGGAGGAACACCAAUGGCGAAGGCAGCUCGCUGGGACGGUACUGACGCUGAGGCGCGAAAGCGUGGGGAGCAAACAGGG
rnacentral:rRNA from 1 species